CUCAUAAGAGAAUUAUAUUACUGAUGUAUAUGUUCUUUGGUAAAACAUCAGAAAAGAGCACGAUCUCUUUCUAUUUUAUGUGGAUUAUUCAUUUCUGUUUUAUCUUUAUUCCAUUAUAUAAAAGUAGAAUCUGUAUCUUCCCCUAAAUGCUAUAUAAAAAUUAUUUUUGUUAUUCUAUGUAAUAUCAUAAUCCUGAUAAACUGGGUAAAUACCAAACAUCUAAAACCUG